AACUAUAGGACUCGGGCUUCUCGUACUUGGGACUAUAAUUUAUGAAACUGAGCCCCAGAUCCAGCCAAUCAUUUAGCUCCUCAUAACAAGUCUAACUGGCUCUGGAAAGCUGAAAGGGCUGCACUGGAAUAACAAAGAUGAGAUAUUCCACACAAUAAUCUGCUUAUCUGAAGCCCUUUCCCUCACAAGACCAAGGAAAAAUCACAGCUCCGUUGUCUGAGGGCAGGACAGAUGACCCAGGGAAACCCACCUACGCCUGCAGCAAGAGCUCCUCUGGCGUGGCAGGGGCAACGGUGCCAGCACUGAGGGACCGAGAGGCCCCGGAGCUGGAGGGCGGCGGCAGCAGCAGGAGCCUGAGAUAACUGACUGAAUUCAACAUGAGAUUUGACAAGAAGAAGAAAGACAGCAGGACAGAGAGAACAGAAAAGGAAUCCACUGGCAAUUCCCCACUGAGGACAAAGACGGCCCCAAGUAAAUAGGAAGUUUUUAAAUGGUUGAGUCCACCAACUUCAGCACAAUAAAGAAGUAAAUGCCAAACCUGACUGGCUGCCGCACCUGAGCCAUGGCCAGCCUCCCCUGAGGACGAUGACAGGCACCCUCCACGUGGAUGGAGCCAGCCGUGCCUACGGACCACUUGGAUUCGCUCUUCAUAAUAAACAGGAUGGCCCUUGGGAGAUCUUCUGUUCAGUUUGCAUGCUCCUGAGCGUAGGACAAAGCUCUGUUGUUUAAGAGCAUAAAUAACAAAAGCUUUGUUCUUCCAAACCAGGAGGGAAACUGUAGAUCUACAUGGUUGGUCUUAAACUAUAUAAGGAUGACAAGAAUGAAAUAUUAUUACAGGCUACCACCAGCAUCCGUCAUUCAAUCUCCUCUCCUGGCUUCAGAAAACAAUGACUCAAUAUGGCCUUUUUCUGACAGACUGCAGCCUUAGGAAAAUACUGUUCCACAUAUUUGGAACUAGGGCUCUUCCUACAUUUAAAUCAAUGGAAGCUAUUCAAAGCUCAGUUAGCUCUCUCUCUCUGAAUCGUGAGCAUAGGAACACAGCUGUUAGUACUCACAUAAUGAAAGUAAAAUAGAAACCAGCAAUGGAAAAAAAAAUCAAAGCACCAUCCCAGGUGCCUGACAUGUGUUUUAUGGCUUGAUUCCCUCAGUAACCUCUAAAAGGUUGAUAUUAUUAUCUCAAUUUUUACCAAGAAUAAGAGAGAUUAAGUAAAUUUCCCUAAGGACAUGGAGUUGAUUAAGCGGCAGAGCUGGAAAUUACAUUAGAAAGUAAAAGUAGUCUCAAAUCCUACCUGUUAAGAGUUGAAUGAAAAACCUCCCAUAUUUUUGUUAAUUUUAUGUAAAUGUGAUCAUUUUGUUUCAUAACCUGCUUUACAUCCCUAAAUAACUGUCCAUGUCAUAUAUAAAACCUCUGUACCAUUAUUUGUAUUGACUACACAGGAUUUCCCGAAAGGCACUUGCCGUAAUUGACUGUCUGUCCCCUAUUGAUGAACAUUGAAGUUAUUUUCAGUUUUCCCUCUGAAUAUGUUCCUGCAUACAUAUUUUUACAUUCAGGUAGUUAUCUCCUUAGGGUAUGUCCUGGACUGAAAAUUACUGGGAAAAGAGACAAUAUGUUUUACAUUUCAGUGUGCAUGCCCUCCAAGAGGUUGUAUCAGGUAGCUACAUGAGUGUGCUCAUUUCUUCACAUUCACAGGCAUAUGGGGCUUAAACAUUUACAUUUCUGCCAAAAUGAUAGGGGGAAAUGAUAGCAGUUAUUUUUAUUUGCAUUUCUUUCAUUAGUAAGGAAAUUAAACAUUUGUUCCUGUGUUGGUCAUUUGCAAUUCUCCCAGAAAUUAAUUAUCUCAAUCCUUUUCUACUUUUGUAUUAGAAUCUGAUGCCAAAAUUCAUUGCAAAUGCCUUCUCCGGCCUCCUGCUGCUUUCUCAUUGUCUGUGCUGGUAUAUCGGAGUCUCUGAUCUGGAGCCAAGAAAACUUUGGCAACAUAUUGCCAGGGUGAUUAGUCAAGUUCCAUAAAACAUGCUCAAAGAAGAAAAACUGAUUAAGUCCAAAGAGAAAGCCAUAAACUUUUCCUUGGUUGUAGGCUUCGGAAGUAGGUCCUCCCCUGACUUUAUCAGCAGUUGUUUAUCUUAUAAGAAACAAUGAUCCAUUCAGACUUAA